rnacentral:rRNA from 1 species
GCCGGUAAUAAACCGGAGGAAGGUGGGGAUGACGUCAAAUCAUCAUGCCCCUUAUGACCUGGGCUACACACGUGCUACAAUGGCUGGUACAACGAGUCGCAAGCCGGUGACGGCAAGCUAAUCUCUUAAAGCCAGUCUCAGUUCGGAUUGUAGGCUGCAACUCGCCUACAUGAAGUCGGAAUCGCUAGUAAUCGCGGAUCAGCACGCCGCGGUGAAUACGUUCCCGGGCCUUGUACACACCGCCCGUCACACCACGAGAGUUUGUAACACCCGAAGUCGGUGAGGUAACCGUAAGGAGCCAGCCGCCUAAGGUGGGAUAGAUGAUUGGGGUGAAGUCGUAACAAGGUAGCCGUAUCGGAAGGUGCGGCUGGAUCACCUCCUUUCUAAGGA